GUGCUUUUGCCUGCCCUCAGCAAUCAGGCUUUCGACUCACGAGGCUUUGAUUGUAGGAGUUGCCUUAUUUGCAUUGAUGAGGAUGAGCCAGCUGCUGGAGCAUACAGAACUGCACCUGACACAAUCAGGGAGUUCAAGAUUAGCACAGGGAAUCAGGAAUCCACCCCGUUCUAUGCCAAUCUCAGCCCUAUAUUAGAGUCACUCAUGCAAAAUGACCCAAAUUUGCGACGAGCACAAUUAGCAAGCCCAAAUGCAUGUUAAUUUAGGAGCUGACAUUUCCUUGCCUUUUACUUAUUAAAUAUAAUGAUUAUGUGCAGUUUACUAGACAAGGCUAAGGAAGAAUAUGAAUGCCCCUCCCCCUUCCGGACAUAUGAACUAAAUUCCACACUCAGGUUCCGAAAGGUACGAAGUUAACACCUUCCAAACGGUUGUGUCUGGGCGCAGAUUGCAGGAAGGAAGCCCUACGAAGGCUGUGGAAAGAAUUUAGAACCCGGGGAACCCUUUUUUGGGACUCCUUUCAACCCCUGAUCAAACCCUCUCCAUUUGUACAAAACUCCCUUGCCACAGGCUCACCUUAGGGGAACAUAGCAGAAAAAGUUGACCAAGGGUUUUGCUAAUAGUUUCCCUAGCAGGAUCACGAAUAUCUAAGGGGGGGGGAGGAGAGAAACUGCGAGCGUUUCCCUUCUGUCUUUAGUGUCUAUAGGUUUUGAAAUGUUCACCUAUGAUUUUUUUUGGCGGGGGGGGGGGAUGUUGUGAAAAUUGAAUAAGUGAUAAUUCUGAGCCAAAGCAUGCGGUUGAAAAGCGAAAGCUCCCAUUGGAGAACAGAAAAUUUAAUGAGCUUUUAAUGGAAUGCAAUGCUCAGAGUAGUAAAUUAUUUGUUAGUUGACGAUGCAAUCAGCAUGCUGAUUAAGGUUGCUGAGGGCUUUUUCCUCCCCCCCAAAAACAUUAACUGAAGGAAAACGGGUUGUAGUCUUUGUUGUUCUGUUUGGGGGGCUUUCAGGAAGCAAAUGGACUUUCAGAACAGAGAUUGUCAAUAAAGAGACAUAACCCAACAUUUUUCUAGUUCUUUUGGAAUGAGUGUCACAACUACAACACUAGCAGCAGCAGAUGUCUGCUUAAUGUGAAAAAUGGUGGCAAAACGGAGUACAUUUUCUACUAGCUGGAAUAUGCAUCAUGCUGGGUGAGGAACCAACAGGACUCUGUGUGCCAUUGAGUUAAUAGGGGGAAACAUUCAGCAAGACUUGAGAGCCAUUAUUCCAGAUGCUUGUGUAAAUAUGGUUUUGUUCAUCAUCACCUCUUCAAAUUAUGCUUACAUGGAACUCCUGAGCCUUGCUUUUGCUGCCUUCCUUGAAAUGCCACCGACUACAUCAAGAUUUCAUUUGGGCAAACAUUUAUUUCCUUUUCUGUUAAAAAAAAAAAAGAUAGGCAAGAGAAAGCCCCUCUUGUGAUACAGAUGGCAGAGGAGGAAGAGGGCCCAUUAGCUUCAGAUUAGCUUUAUGAAACAGAGCUUUUAUCAUGAAGUCAUUCCCUGCGUCCCAGUACUGUUGCAGUUUUGACAACGACAAUAGUAAAGUCAUAAUUAAGUGCCACAACUUGGAUUCUGUAUGUUAGCCUGAGACCCGAAGUAUUAUUACCUUUCAUUAUGAACAUAUUUGUAAAGAAGCAUAAAAGUGUGAAUAUUCGCACAAUGAUAUGCACCUUACUUGGACUGAUCAGAAAAGUGUUUUACCCGUCAAAUACUUUUAUGAUUUCUGCUCCACCAUUUAAAGAAGGGAGGGGGAUCUGUUUGAUUAACAUUGUCAACUGUACAAAAUAAAAACUUGCAUAUGUGUUCAUUUGAACUUGAAUACAGAAUAAAAAACAUUAAAAUGUGUUUGGUGAUAUUUCUGUAUGUUUGUAUUUAUUUAUUUUAAAACUGCAUUUGGGAGAGACUGUGUUUGGGAAAGGCAAUAUCUUACUGGCUUUCAUAAUAAAACUUCUCCUGUUUUUACUACAAUGAAGAUUCCACCUAAAACAUAGGAGUGGGUAACCCUGGAAAUUUGAUGGUAAAUUUUCAUGCUCCCACAACAUUUUAAAGCAAAAUGUUAACAUUCCACCAGCACUUAUGAAGAAAACUCUUCAGAUCAAUAUUUCACUGUUUUGGUAUUUUGUUGUAAAAAGGAUUGUUUUUAAUUAAACAUUUCAGAUGUGUGCACAAAGGGGUUUAUGACCCACAAAUUAUUCUUCCUUACAGUAACUAUUGUCUGAUACAGAUGUUCAGAUAUGUGGAAAGAGGGAUCAUGAGCAUGGCAGAAGACCCUGUUCCCUCCACAUAUUGGCCAGGGUGUGUGCAUACUGUCCUGUGGCUUAAAUGGGAAUCAUGUGAGAGGUGCACUAGAAAAAUGGAGUGUACUCCUUUCCGGCUAUGCACAUUAUGAGUCCAUUAUGCACAUGUUCCAACCAAUGCAAUGUAUAGUCAGGUAAUGGCAUAAUGGCUAUCCUGCUCCCUCU